rnacentral:rRNA from 1 species
GAUGAACGCUGGCGGCGUGCCUAAUACAUGCAAGUCGAGCGAACGGUCUAGACGCUUGCUUCUCUGACGUUAGCGGCUGACGUGUGAGUGGGAGGUUAAUAAGCUGGCUAUAUGCCUGGGAGAGGUGCGGGAAUCCGGAGCACGAACCGUAAAAUAGUAUAAUCUUAAUUAUUCAAAAGUGAUAAACUGUAUGGCGGUCAUUCAUCGAUGCAUCGGCGCUGCGUUAGCUAUUUGGUAAGGUAACGGCUUACCAAGGGAACGAUGAAUAGCGGAUCUGAGAGGGUGAUGGGCCAAACGGGAACUGAAACACGGUCCGGACUCCUACGGGAGGCACCAGUAGGAAAUCUUCCGCAAUGAGCGAAAGCCUGACGGAGCAACGCCGCGUGAGUGAUGAAGGUAUUCGGAUCGAAAAACUCUUUUAUUAGGGAAGAACAUAUGUGUAAGUAACUGUGCACAUCGUGACGGUACCUAAUCAGAAAGCCACGGCUAACUACGUG